rnacentral:rRNA from 1 species
GACGAACGCUGGCGGCGUGCCUAACACAUGCAAGUCGAGCGAGGAAUGACUGGUAGCUUGCUACCGGUUAUUUCUAGCGGCGGACGGGUGAGUAACGCGUGAGCAACCUGCCUUUAUCAGGGGGAUAACGCAUCGAAAGAUGUGCUAAUACCGCGUAAGACCACAGUCUCACAUGGGGCAGGGGUCAAAGGAGCAAUCCGGAUAAAGAUGGGCUCGCGUCCGAUUAGCUAGUUGGUGAGAUAACAGCCCACCAAGGCGACGAUCGGUAGCCGACCUGAGAGGGUGAUCGGCCACAUUGGAACUGAGAGACGGUCCAGACUCCUACGGGAGGCAGCAGUGGGGAAUAUUGGGCAAUGGGCGAAAGCCUGACCCAGCAACGCCGCGUGAGGGAAGAAGGGUUUCGGCUCGUAAACCUCUGUCCUAUGGGACGAAGGAAGGAC